rnacentral:rRNA from 1 species
AUUGAACGCUGGCGGCAGGCCUAACACAUGCAAGUCGAACGAGUGGCGGACGGGUGAGUAAUGCCUGGGAAACUGCCUGAUGGAGGGGGAUAACUACUUGAAACUGUAGCUAAUACCGCAUACCAUCAGAUGUGCCCAGAUGGGAUUAGCCUGUUGGUGGGGUAAAGGAUCACCAAGCCGACGAUCCCUAGCUGGUCUGAGAGGAUGACCAGCCACAUUGGAAGUGAGACAAGGUCCAGACUCAUACGGGAGGUGGCAGUGGGGAAUAUUGCACAAUUGGAGCAAAACGGAAGCAGCCAUGCCGCGUGUAUGAAGAAGGCCUUCGGGUUGUAAAGUACUUUCAGUGGAGAGGCGUUACCCGCAGAAGAAGCACCGGCUAACUCCGUGCCAGCAGCCGCGGUAAUAC